GAGAGUAGACCCAAGUGGGGACUAUUGUGAAGAGUAAGUCGUCCGUGGCUGCAACAUGCCAGCCUCGCCAGAUGGGGUGCGGGAAUGGAGGCAAUUUAUAAAACCUCUACAGCAGCUUUUGUGACCACGAGGGAUGAUAUCGGCUUGAUUUAGCAUUUUUAAAUUUAAGUAUUCACCUCAUGUCAAUAAGUCCCUAAAGCAGAAUUCAGUUCGAGCAUUAAAUUCAAUAAUCAUAUAUUGAAGACUUGCUAUACCAUGCUGAUAUGAAACAGACCAACUAUGGCAACUGAAGAUGAAACAGACCAAGGAUUCCUGCCCUCAAGGGGUUUGCAAAUUGGGAGGAGGAUAAAGGAAGUAUACCAACACCCAUGGAAAAAGAGAGAACACAAGUGAUAACUCAAGAGUCUCUGUUUUUCAGAAGAAAGCUGCCAUCUCAUGAGAAGCCCUGUGAAGAUGCCUAUGUAUGGACUUAAGACUGGCCAUCAUCCAUACAAGUGGAUUAUCUUACAGAAACUACUUGAAAUUCAGUAGUGAAACUCAGCCGACACCUUGACUGGAGGAGGAUUGAACCAGAAGACUCAACUCAGCUCUGCCUGGACCCAAAGAAAUUAUGAGACAGUAAACUGUUUUGUGUAUCUAAAUGUUGUGGUCAUACUAUAUAACAAUAUAUAAUAGUGAAAACAAGUCUUAAAAUGGAGAUGUUACUGGUGCCGGCUCGAGCAAAUUGAUGAGCAAUGGGAUGAGAGUGACAGUAACAGUGACUUUGAAAGACCCUUUUCCUUUCAUGUGUCCAUGUCCUACCUCCUUCAAACCUCAGCUGUUUUUAAGUGGUUCCAGAGCACUGGAUAAUUCUCAGUGUUAUAUGGGGUUUCCAGAUGGUACCCAGGAAGCUUGGAGACUCCUGCCACUGAUCCUUUGUCAACAGGGCUGGCAGGUCAGUACCAGGGACAGAGAAUACAGUACUUCUUGAUCUCCUCACUGCCAGGGAUUACCCAUAGUGCAUGUAUUAAACCAAGGUUGAUCACAUGCAGGGUUAGUACUUUAAUCCUAGUAGUAUCUCUCUGGCUUCCUGUUGGUUAUUUUUUAAAUUAAAUUAUUAUUAUUUUUUUUAUGAAUCACUGUGGGGUACAUUUAUAGACUUACAAACUUUUGAAUGACACACUGCUUUUGCAGGUCAAGAAACCUUGGGGUGUAAAUCUUGCUUGGUGCCUCUGGUUGAACUCUACAAGAAGAAAACAUCCAACCCCAUCAAAAAAUGGGGCAAAGAAAUGAACAGAAACUUUACCAAGGAAGAAAUACGAAUGGCCAAAAGGCACAUGAAAAAGUGCUCUACAUCACUAAUCAUCAGAGAGAUGCAGAUCAAAACAACCAUGAGAUACCACCUCACACCACAGAGACUGGCACACAUCCAAAAGAACAAAAGCAACCGCUGUUGGAGAGGAUGUGGGGAGAAAGGGACCCUUCUACACUGCUGGUGGGAAUGCCGACUGGUUCAGCCCUUUUGGAAAACAGUAUGGACGAUUCUCAGAAAACUAGAGGUUGAGCUCCCAUUUGACCCAGCAAUACCACUGCUGGGAAUAUAUCCCAGAGAGGCAAAAAAGUACAAUCGAAACAACAUCUGCACAUGUAUGUUCAUCGCAGCACUGUUUACAAUAGCCAGAAUCUGGAAAAAACCCGAAUGCCCCAAAACGGAUGACUGGUUGAGGAAACUUUGGUACAUCUAUACAAUGGAAUACUAUGCAGCUGUUAGAAAAAAGGAAGUCAAGAAUUUUGUAGUUAAGUGGAUGGGCAUGAAAAGUUUCAUGCUGAGUGAAAUGAGUCAGAAAGAGAGAGACAGACAUAGAAAGACUGCACUCAUCUAUGGUAUAUAGAAUAUCAGAGUGGGAGACUAAUACCCAAGAACCGCAGAAAUAAGUACCAGGAGGUUGACCCCAUGGCUUCGCGGCUGGCCUCACGUUCCGGGGAAAGGGCAACUCAGAGAAGCGAUCACCAACUACAUUGUAGUUGAAGGCCAUGUGGGGGAAAGGAGUUGCGGGCUGAAUGAGGGCUAGAGACUGAACACAGCGGCCACUCAACACCUUUAUUGCAAACCACAACAGCUAAUUAG